AGGACCCAGGACCAGGAGACAGCAGGGUGAGGCUACAGGACCCAGGACCAGGAGACAGCAGGGUGAGGCUACAGGACCCAGGACCAGGAGACAGCAGGGUGAGACUACAGGACCCAGGACCAGGAGACAGCAGGGUGAGACUACAGGACCCAGGGGCUUGAGACAACCAGGUGACAGCAGGGAGCUGCAGACCAUGGCACGGGUGCGGAACGAGCAGGGAAACAAUCGAGCCUCAUCACAUUAGCCCACAGGGAGGGCCCUGUCACAGGCGGACAGGAGAGGAGACUCCUUUCAGGACCAGUCUAACGCGCGCAGCUGGGACCAGCCUGGAGCAGCACACCGCCGCACAGAGGCUCCCCCCCCCGAAACGGAGCCGAAUCGUCGCACUCUCACGGGCACCUGGGACAGGUCUGCAGUGCAGCCUGUGUGGCUCUGCUCCAUCUAUGGAGCCAUCAAGCCAUGCUUCUGCGUUUCAGCUCGAGGAAAACUGGGAAGGACUGGAAUCGCGAAAAGAAGACAGUCCUGGGUCAGCCGGCUGGAGGGACACCAUAGCACCGAUACGCACUGGCCAAGGGGACGGAUGUGCAAGCAGCUCUGUCAGAUCCAGAAGACAGGACUCCCUUGGGUGGUCACACUGGACUGAAGUGGCCGUACGGUCGGGUGGGCGUACGAUCGGUGUGACGUGUGGAAUCUCAGUCAGAUUGUGCACCAAACAGCACACACAAGCUUGGAGGUGCAUAAUGACUUUGCUGUUCAUCUCGUGGAAUGAUUCCAUCAUUUUGAGCUCACUCAGAUGAGUUUAUUGGGAACCAGACGAUGCAGAUGUCACCAGUAGGUCACAGGCCUCUGUGGUGGGAGGUUUCCAAGACAACAAUAUUGUAUUAUAACAGGUCGCUUGAGAUGUGAGUUUAGGCAAAAAAAUAUUUCCAUGUAAUUUGAGGUACAAAUGA